CCUCCAGCUGUCAGCAUCAAAAUUUAAAUAUGAAACUCUUGAGUCUUCAUUUGUUUAAAACAUCUUUUUCCUUCACAGAACAAAACUCAGCAGGUAAUCUCUAAGCAGAUCAUUUGUUUUUGAGUUCAUCUUCACUCUGGAACUGUCUCCACCUGAGCCUGACAUCAGUGGACUCUGGUCGCCUUUAAAAAGCAGCUGAAACUCACCUGUUCAGGCUUUGGUGUGACCUUCUGUUGAUUCUUUCUCACUACCAAUUGUAACGUGAGGAAAUAUGGGUUUUCUGUGCAAAAGGUCAUUUUACUUGGCUGGGUCAAAGAGCUGGGUCGCUGAGAACUUUCACCCACAGAUUGAGACCUUUGCAGACAUGAAGUCUGCAAGAGUCUGCUGGAAACCAUAACAUCUGAACACCUGCAGUACCAGAAGAAGGAGUUCUCAUGGAAAAGUAGUCAUAACAUAACAAGUCUUAAAACUUUAUUUUCUUGAUUUUAAUGUUAAAGAAUAAUCAUUAUCAUUUUGCUCAUUAUAAAUGUGUUUUAAUCAAGUGAAUGAUUCUUAUGCUUUGGGUAAUUAUAAUGGAUUAAUGAAUCCAUACUUAAUUAGAUAAUGUUUGAGGAUGUUUGUUACCGACCUUCACACACACACACUCAAACACACCCACACACAGAUUCUCACAGUAAACUCCAAAACACAUUUGCUGACGCACACGUUUGCUUUGAGAAGAGAAAGGCUUUUGGUAAGUUUCAGUCUUAUGAUUCAGUUCGUGCUUGACAACGAAAGAGAGAGGACCUGAAGAAACCGAAGGGGGGACAGAGCCGGUCGGCUCGUUUCUCCCCCCCUCCCGCUGUUCCUGUCAGCCAGACAGAAUAGCUGAAUCGCAACUUCUAACGCAGACUCAUACAGAGUCUUUUGAUUUCUGAGUGAACUAAACUUAACAAAACGCAUCGACAAAACGCUUUACCACCAACGUGUACCGAGGGCAACUCUGGACCGGUUCGUGGCGCAUCUUUGUCUUCUUUGCCAGCCAAGGUGCCCUGGAUGAAACAUCAUCCUAAGGUGACGUCCCGGGUCCAACAGGGAGUCCGAUUUUCGCUCCUCAGGUACUGCAGCACCCGACGGCUGAGUCUGUUAACCUGUGUCCAGAGUGUUGAACCAGUGGGAUGCACUGCAGUCAUGAGGAGGUGGAGAGCAGUGCCAAAAUACAUGAUUUAGCCAGCCAUCUGCGUGAUCCAGUCAUGAAGAUCUACUUCAUGUUCCUUCAACCUUUAUCUGAUUUUAACAUUGCCUUCCAGUCAGAGGGAGUACAAAUUCAGACUUGAAGAGGGAAUGUGCAGGCUGAUCAGGAGGAUCCUGGGCUACCUCAUACCAGCCAGGGCCAUCAUAGGUAUACCUCUCAGGGAGGUGGAAUAUGGACAAGGACAUUAGUUGGCUGAUGAAGAGCUCUUUAUUGGAGCAGACAAAAAGGCCUUCAUGAAAAGCGAAGAGCUUCCCAUGUCCACUGAGAAAAUCGUUCAAUCUGUGAGAAGAUUCUAUGGAGCAGCUCUUCAGAAGAUGUUCUCCUCCUUUCCCCUUGACCAUACACUCCUGAGGGACUUGAAAGUGCUGGACCCUGCUGCUCGCCUCGACAUUCCUCCAAGGACAGGUAGAUGUUAGGGCAGUUCUCCAUUGAUAGAAUAAUUGAAUUGAUGAAAUAUUGCAUGGUUUAGAUUUGCAACAUUUUCUUUAUUUUACAGUGGAAAGGCUAGGGGCCAUGUUCCCUCAGUUGAGCUUGAGUGAAGAUGGGCUGAGAGAGGAACUCGUUGACUACCAGGUGACAGAUAGCAAGCAACUCCCCCAAGAAGACAACAUUGACAGAUUCUGGGGCCUGCUAGGGAAGGAUGUGAGGUUCAGUGAGCUGCCAAGAUUAAUGAAGGCUUUACUCUGCAUUCCCCACAGCAAUGUCAGUUCUUAAAGGGUGUUUAGUGUGGUGAGAAAGAUUGUUACAGAGAAUAGGACGUCAUUAGACAACAGCACUGUUCGUGCUUUACUGUCAUGUAAAAUCAACCACU